rnacentral:lncRNA from 1 species
UUUUCUUCUCCAACACCAAUCUCACACCAUCGACUAACACCCACAGAUUUGUUUUCCAGCCAUCGCCACCCCCGCCGUUCUUCUUCAUCGUUGACAACCUAAGACCACACCUACCAUCUUCUUCUUCAGUAGAAGAAGCAACGCCGAUCCCUGAACUUAAAACCCCAGCAGCGUUCCGCUCCUCCUCAGCCGCCGGAACCCUAGUUCCCCUUAAAAAAAUUUCCAUCGCCACCGUAACUCUGAUCUCUCACCUAAGAGCCGACCUUACAUAGACAUGGAAGAAAAUAGAGCAACAACUCUUGGAGGCUAGGGGAAACAGCCAGAAUUUAAAUUGAAAGAGAAAUAGAGGGAUACGGACAGAGGAGGCUUCGUUCUCAGUGUUUGGAUUUUCCGUACAGGUUUCCUUUCAAUUCCAUAGAGAACAUAUAAAAAUACAAAAAAAAUCAGUUCUUUCAUCUUUCUUAGUUUAUUUCAAAGGUUAGAAAAAUUCAAAAAUAAAGGUUUCAUUCUUCUUUUGGAUUCUCGUUGGGAGGUUUAUUGAUUUGAGUUGCCGUUCGAAGUCGAUUUCGUGGUUCUCUGUUUGAUUCAUGUGCUGUAUCUCAUUAUAAUUUUGUGAAUUAAAGUCGAAUUUUUCAUUGAAUCCUUUACUGUUACAAAUUUUGGCUCUACAGGUUUAUUCCCAUGUAUCUCUUCUUUAUUUAAGCUUGUUUGAAGUGGAUCGAGCUGUAUAGGAGUCGUUGAAAAAUGGAUUAAAUAAGCAGUUAUUUCGAAGAUUAUGUUUAACUUCCCUUUGAUGCGAGUUUAUAUUUUUUGUUGAUUGCGUGAUCAUUGAAUCCUCCUGGCUAAAUCUCCGAGAUGAUAAACGAGCACGAAUUGUUUGAAUCUCUGUUUAUGUGUUUGCUUGUGAUAUUUGUUGAAGAAAUUUCAUUAGUUCAUAUCCUGAUUUGCCGUGGAUUUUGAUUUUCUUACUGAUGUGCCUAUGUUGAAACGAUAAAUUGAAUUCACUACUAAUGGAUAUGGAUUUUGAUUUAUUUGAUGUGCAUGUAGGGAAAUCUUACGGACGGGAAAACCAAGUAACAGAAAAUUUAUUCGCUGUUCUUUCAUGAAUGUUUAUGAAAUAUUGGAAAAAUCUAAAAGAAAACUUAAUAUCAAAUUGCAGAUCAUUUUGGGUUCUUUGUUGUAUUUAUUCAUGCUUUUUCUAGUGUUUCUAGCAAGAGUAAAUGUGGAGGAUUUGGUUUAGGAUAGAACUGAUCACAUCUUUCGUUUAAGAUACUUAAUCCUUUUGGUUUAAUUAGUAUAAUGACUACCAAAAAUUAUUUCCAUAAUUAUUAAAUCUUCAUGUUUGAUCUCAAACUUAGGAAUUAAUAAUUUUGAACAUUCGUAGAAAUGUUUUAGGCACACCCUUAAUUAAUCGAAUAUUGUGAUUAUGUAUACCUUUGCGUAACAUAAUUAUGAUUUUUCUAAACUUAAAACCAAGGUAUGCGUUCGUGUAACUUUGGCCAAGCUUUUUCCUAAAUAACUAAGUGCUAAGAAUUGUGGACACGUACACGUGACAUGAUUCUUGACGCACCGAACAAAAUGAGUGCACGUACGCGUGACUCGUUUCAGGUUAAUUUCUUAAUUAAAAGCGGUAAGAGGUAAAAAUGUACAUAGGUUCUUAACGAGUAAUUAGACAUUUUAAUUAAGCAGGUAUGAUUAAAAUGACCGUGCUAAAACCACGAAACUCGGGAAUACCUAACACCUUCUCCCGGGUUAACAGAAUUCCUUACCUGGAUUUCUGUGUUUCGCGAAUUAUAAAACAGAGUUAAACUUCCUUGAUUCGGGAUUUUAAACCGGUGACUUGGGACACCAUAAAUUAUCCCAAGUGACGACUCUGAAUUUGAAUAAAUAAUUCUGUUUCGAUUAUUGUCACUUUAAUUGGAAAAACUCCUUUAUAUACCCUUUCGGGGUGUAAAAAGGAGGUGUGACACUCAUGAACUUGUGACACCAGAUUUUUAGAAUUCUAGUAGACACUCCUGGGUUUUGAUUAUUUAAUUUACUAUAUUUCUUUCCUGUUAGUUUAUACUUUACAUUACUAUGAGCACUUACUAAUUAUUUCCGCAUUAAAUAAAAAUUAAUGACUUUAAAAAUAUUAAAAUAAGAAAUUAAAUGGGUAGUUCACUGUUGGCUUUCCUAGCAGCGACGUUGGGCGCCAUUACGGCCUAUAGUGGGAAUUGGGCCAUAACAGCUUGAUAUCAGAGCUCUAGGUUCACAUAGGUUUCACAUGUCAUGAGCGGUCCUAAUAGAGUCUUGCGUAUCGGUACAAAGACGUUUAUACUUAUCUUCGAGAGGCUACGGGGUAUUAGAAAACUUCUCUUUCUUCAUCUCCUAUCAUGCAGUUGAUGUUAUGCUAAGUAUAUUUCUCUUAUUCUCUCACAGAUGGUGAGAAGGCGUGCACCAGAUGUACCCGGCGAUGGGUGAGCUACACCCCUUGUUGCUAGAGGCCGAGGCAGGGCUCCAGCUCUUGCUAGAGGAUAAAGGCAUCCUAGAGUUGCUCCUACUGUGCC